AACAUGGAGUCAAGAGGGACCUAACUGUAAUUAAACCAGGUUAUCAACAUGGAUCAACAGGGACCCUACUGUAAUUAAACCAGGUUAUCAACAUGGAUCAACAUGGACCCAACUGUAAUUAAACCAGGUUAUCAACAUGGAUCAAGAGGGACCUAAGUGUAAUUUAACCAGGUUAUCAACAUGGAUCAAGAGGGACCUAAGUGUAAUUUAACCAGGUUAUCAACAUGGAUCAACAGGGACCCUACUGUAAUUAAACAGGUUAUCAACAUGGAUCAACAUGGACCCUACUGUAAUUAAACCAGGUUAUCAACAUGGAUCAACAUGGACCCUACUGUAAUUUAACCAGGUUAUCAACAUGGAUCAACAGGGACCUAAGUGUAAUUUAACCAAGUUAUCAACAUGGAUCAACAUGGACCCUACUGUAUUAAACCAGGUUAUCAACAUGGAUCAACAGGGACCCUACUGUAAUUAAACCAGGUUAUCAACAUGGAUCAACAUGGACCCUACUGUAAUUAAACCAGGUUAUCAACAUGGAUCAACAUGGACCCAACUGUAAUUAAACCAGGUUAUCAACAAGGAUCAACAGGGACCCUACUGUAAUUAAACCAGGUUAUCAACAUGGAUCAACAUGGACCCAACUGUAAUUAAACCAGGUUAUCAACAUGGAUCAAGAGGGACCUAAGUGUAAUUUAACCAGGUUAUCAACAUGGAUUAACAUGGACCCAACUGUAAUUUAACCAGGUUAUCAACAUGGAUCAACAGGGACCUACUGUAAUUAAACCAGGUUAUCAACAUGGAUCAACA